AUUGAACGCUGGCGGCAGGCCUAACACAUGCAAGUCGAGCGGAUGAAGGGAGCUUGCUCCUGGAUUCAGCGGCGGACGGGUGAGUAAUGCCUAGGAAUCUGCCUGGUAGUGGGGGAUAACGUCCGGAAACGGGCACUAAUACCGCAUACGUCCUGAGGGAGAAAGUGGGGGAUCUUCGGACCUCACGCUAUCAGAUGAGCCUAGGUCGGAUUAGCUAGUUGGUGGGGUAAAGGCCUACCAAGGCGACGAUCCGUAACUGGUCUGAGAGGAUGAUCAGUCACACUGGAACUGAGACACGGUCCAGACUCCUACGGGAGGCAGCAGUGGGGAAUAUUGGGCAAUGGGCGAAAGCCUGAUCCAGCCAUGCCGCGUGUGUGAAGAAGGUCUUCGGAUUGUAAAGCACUUUAAGUUGGGAGGAAGGGCAGUAAGUUAAUACCUUGCUGUUUUGACGUUACCCACAGAAUAAGCACCGGCUAACUUCGUG
rnacentral:rRNA from 1 species